ensembl:lncRNA
UGGAUCUAUGGGGUCUUCUAGGGUCAGAUCUGUGGGGCCCAUGGGGUGGGAUCUGUGGGGUGAUCUCAGUUCUCUUGGUUGGAUCUAUGGGGCCCAUUGGGUUUGAUCUAUGGGGUCUGUUAGCAAGGACCCGGGGGGCCAGGUGGUCGUCCAUCUGUGGGGUCUGUUAGUAUUGAGUCUGUGGGGCCCAUGGGGUUGGAUCUAUGGGGCCCAGUGGGUAAUGAUCUAUGGGGCCCUUUAGGAUUGGAGCUAUGGGGCCCGUUCACCUGGGGUCUGUGGGGUGGUAGAUUGAUCCUAGUGGUGGUCAAUGGAUCUGUGGGGCUCGUGGGGUGGGAUCUAUGGGGUGAUUGUUCCCUGUUCUCUUGGUUGGGUCUAUGGGUCCAAUAGGGUGGGAUCUAUGGGGCCCGUGGGGUGGGACUUGUGGGGUGUUUGGUUGUUCCCUGUUCUGUUGGUUGGAUCUAUGGGGCACGUUGGGGUCAGAUCCUGUUGGUUUUGCAUCUGUGGGGCUGGUGGGAUCCAAUCUGUGGGGCUCAUUGAGAUUUGUGGGGUCAGAUCUGUGGGGCUCAUUGAGAUCUGUGGGGCUGGAUCCGUGGAGCUUGCGGAGAUCUGUGGGGUGGGAUGUGUGGGGCUGGAUCCGUGGGGCGCUCACUGUUCCCUGUUAACCUGUGCUUCAAUCCAUGGGGUGCAUGCAGUGCGCACUUGGGGGGCAGAGCUUUGGGAUCUAUGGGGCAGAGCUGGGGGAUCUAUGGGGCAGAGCUGUGGGGCACUGUUACAGUCCCUCUGUGGGGUGCGUGCUGGGCGGGGGGGAGGGAAUCUGUGGGGCAGAGCCUGCUGGUAGCUGUGGGGCACGCGGUGCGGCACUUGUGGGGCAGGCUGUGGGGCACGCACCGCUUGUUGUGGGGCAGAGCUGUGGGGUGGAGCGUUGCUGCUUCUGGGGUCAAGGCUGGGGGGGGGAUGGUUCUUUGUGGGGCGCGUGCGUUGCUUGCCCCACACUUGUGGGGCAAGAUGGGGGCCCAGGCUAGGGCCUCGCUGCUAUGGGGCUGAGGGUGUGGGGCUGGUAGGGGAGCUGUGGGGCUGGCUGUGGGGCUGGCAGUAGGUUAUGGGGCUGGUUAGGGAGCCUGGGGGUGGAUCUGCGGGGCUGGCAGUGGGUUAUGGGGCCAAUACGGGAUCUGUGGGGCUGGCCAUAGGUUAUGGGGCUGGUAGAGAAUCUGUGGGGCCAUCUAUGGGGCUGACAGGGGAUCUGUGGGGCUGACGGUGGAUGUAGGGGGUUGAAGACCUAUGGGGCAGGCAGGGGAUGCGUGGGGCCGAAGAUCUAUGGGGUGCCAACAGGCUGGCGGGGAGGGAGAGGGAAUCAAUGGGGCGACGUGUGGGGCCAGCCGGGGACGUGUGGGGCGCGCCGUGGGGCGGGCUGACCCCUAUCCCUGCAGCGCCGCCGGGUGCCCCGCUCGCGCCGAGGAAACACCGCAGCCUCUCCCCGGCCCCACGGCGGCCGGCCGGUAGGUGUGGGGCAGCGCCGUGGGGCAGAAGCCGUGGGGCAGAAGCCGUGGGGCGGAGCCGUGGGGCAGCAGGCCCCGCCCCCUUUCC